UACGUAGGGGGCAAGCGUUGUCCGGAUUUCUUGGGCGUAAAGAGCGUGUAGGCGGCCAUACAGGUCAGCUGUGAAAACUCGAGGCUCAACCUCGAGACGUCGGUUGAAACCGUAUGGCUAGAGUCCGGAAGAGGAGAGUGGAAUUCCCGGUGUAGCGGUGAAAUGCGCAGAUAUCGGGAAGAACACCCGUGGCGAAGGCGGCUCUCUGGGACGGUACUGACGCUGAGACGCGAAAGCGUGGGGAGCGAACAGG
rnacentral:rRNA from 1 species